rnacentral:rRNA from 1 species
GACGAACGCUGGCGGCGUGCUUAACACAUGCAAGUCGAACGAUGAAGCUGGAGCUUGCUCCGGUGGAUUAGUGGCGAACGGGUGAGAAACACGUGAGCAAUCUGCCCUUGACUCUGGGAUAACUGCGGGAAACUGUAGCUAAUACCGGAUACGAGACCUGAAGGCAUCUUCGGGUCUGGAAAGAAUUUCGGUCAAGGAUGAGCUCGCGGCCUAUCAGCUUGUUGGUGAGGUAAUGGCUCACCAAGGGGACGACGGGUAGCCGGCCUGAGAGGGUGACCGGCCACGCUGGGACUGAGACACGGCCCAGACUCCUACGGGAGGCAGCAGUGGGGAAUAUUGCACAAUGGGCGAAAGCCUGAUGCAGCAACGCCGCGUGAGGGAUGAAGGCCUUCGGGUUGUAAACCUCUUUUAGCAGGGAAGAAGCGAAAGUGACGGUACCUGCAGAAAAAGCACCGGCUAACUACGUGCCAGCCGCCGCCGUAA